rnacentral:rRNA from 1 species
GAUGAACGCUGGCGGCGUGCCUAAUACAUGCAAGUCGAGCGAACAGAUGAGGAGCUUGCUCCUCUGACGUUAGCGGCGGACGGGUGAGUAACACGUGGAUAACCUACCUAUAAGACUGGGAUAACUUCGGGAAACCGGAGCUAAUACCGGAUAAUAUAUUGAAUCGCAUGGUUCAAUAGUGAAAGACGGUUUUGCUGUCACUUAUAGAUGGAUCCGCGCCGCAUUAGCUAGUUGGUAAGGUAACGGCUUACCAAGGCAACGAUGCGUAGCCGACCUGAGAGGGUGAUCGGCCACACUGGAACUGAGACACGGUCCAGACUCCUACGGGAGGCAGCAGUAGGGAAUCUUCCGCAAUGGGCGAAAGCCUGACGGAGCAACGCCGCGUAAGUGAUGAAGGUCUUCGGAUCGUAAAACUCUGUUAUUAGGGAAGAACAAAUGUGUAAGUAACUAUGCACGUCUUGACGGUACCUAAUCAGAAAGCCACGGCUAACUACGUG